GGCCUCCAGGUCUGUUCAUUUAGCAGUAAAGUUGUGCACAUACAGAGUAACAAGUUGUGCUGCAGAAGGCAGAAAUGUGAAAAAGCUCUGAAACCAAACAGUGACUAAUCACAGUCUAUAUCUGUCAUCUAGCACAGAUCUCAUGUAGUGCUGCUCUGAGGAAGUCAGCCAUGUUCUCUCUCAGCUGCUGACCUGCUGUGGUGGAAACUUAUUUCUCAUUUAUUUCUAUAGUUUUUUCUUUUACUUCACUAAAAGAUCAGAGUGAUUCUUCCACAGCUCUUAAUGUGUCAUUCUUGUGUCGUUCACUCAUUAAUGGAUCUUCAUCACAUGUAAAUCUGCAUACAUAUAAAAAUCUAUAAUGUACCUGAACUUCCAGAGGAGGCUGAUGAAGGUGUGGAGCUUCCUGAAGUUGAGCUUAAACUCUGUGUUGUUGGUGGUGUGGAGGCUGAUGAGAGAAACACUGAAGCUGAAAAAGGUCUCAGAGUCCCGUUUGGUGUUGAAGUGGUUGAAGCUGUGAACAAUGAAACCAUCAGAGUCAUAAUAAGACCACUUGAAGCAGUUUAUAUAUCUGCAUGUGACUGACGUGGUUAUGGGCUGUUUGACAGCAGAACUGAUGAAACUUGAUGUUUCAGAUAAAUAUAACAUCUGUAGGUGAUUUGAAAGAAAAGUAGCUGCCUUUGAGACGGGAAACUUCUGUCACACCUUCAAAGACAAACACGACUGUUAGCAGAAACUCACCUGCUGUGACAAUCAGCUCAAAAUCAUCGUUUCCAUCUGGACUCAAAAUUCUGUCCAAAGAGCACCUGUACCAUCCUGAGUCAGACUGGUUCAGCUGUGUGAUGCUCACAUACAUAAUAUCAGAUGAGGUAACACCUUUGUUUUCAUAUUUAAUGCUGUAUCUGCCGUUCUGAGCUGCAUCAUCAGAUGUUUCAACAAGAAUGUUUCCAUUUUCACAUUUUUUCUUACAGAACAGUUUCCUGCUUCCAGACAAAUAAAAGUUGCACCCAACUGUGAUGUUUCCUCCUUCCUCUGCUCUGCGGGUGAGAGUUUGUGCUUUGACCAAACCAGUGUUUC
ensembl:lncRNA